GAUGGAGGGGGAUAACUACUGGAAACGGUAGCUAAUACCGCAUAACGUCGCAAGACCAAAGAGGGGGACCUUAGGGCCUCUUGCCAUCGGAUGUGCCCAGAUGGGAUUAGCUAGUAGGUGGGGUAACGGCUCACCUAGGCGACGAUCCCUAGCUGGUCUGAGAGGAUGACCAGCCACACUGGAACUGAGACACGGUCCAGACUCCUACGGGAGGCAGCAGUGGGGAAUAUUGCACAAUGGGCGCAAGCCUGAUGCAGCCAUGCCGCGUGUAUGAAGAAGGCCUUCGGGUUGUAAAGUACUUUCAGCGGGGAGGAAGGGAGUAAAGUUAAUACCUUUGCUCAUUGACGUUACCCGCAGAAGAAGCACCGGCUAACUCCGUGCCAGCAGCCGCGGUAAUACGGAGGGUGCAAGCGUUAAUCGGAAUUACUGGGCGUAAAGCGCACGCAGGCGGUUUGUUAAGUCAGAUGUGAAAUCCCCGGGCUCAACCUGGGAACUGCAUCUGAUACUGGCAAGCUUGAGUCUCGUAGAGGGGGGUAGAAUUCCAGGUGUAGCGGUGAAAUGCGUAGAGAUCUGGAGGAAUACCGGUGGCGAAGGCGGCCCCCUGGACGAAGACUGACGCUCAGGUGCGAAAGCGUGGGGAGCAAACAGGAUUAGAUACCCUGGUAGUCCACGCCGUAAACGAUGUCGACUUGGAGGUUGUGCCCUUGAGGCGUGGCUUCCGGAGCUAACGCGUUAAGUCGACCGCCUGGGGAGUACGGCCGCAAGGUUAAAACUCAAAUGAAUUGACGGGGGCCCGCACAAGCGGUGGAGCAUGUGGUUUAAUUCGAUGCAACGCGAAGAACCUUACCUGGUCUUGACAUCCACGGAAGUUUUCAGAGAUGAGAAUGUGCCUUCGGGAACCGUGAGACAGGUGCUGCAUGGCUGUCGUCAGCUCGUGUUGUGAAAUGUUGGGUUAAGUCCCGCAACGAGCGCAACCCUUAUCCUUUGUUGCCAGCGGUCCGGCCGGGAACUCAAAGGAGACUGCCAGUGAUAAACUGGAGGAAGGUGGGGAUGACGUCAAGUCAUCAUGGCCCUUACGACCAGGGCUACACACGUGCUACAAUGGCGCAUACAAAGAGAAGCGACCUCGCGAGAGCAAGCGGACCUCAUAAAGUGCGUCGUAGUCCGGAUUGGAGUCUGCAACUCGACUCCAUGAAGUCGGAAUCGCUAGUAAUCGUGGAUCAGAAUGCCACGGUGAAUACGUUCCCGGGCCUUGUACACACCGCCCGUCACACCAUGGGAGUGGGUUGCAAAAGAAGUAGGUAGCUUAACCUUCGGGAGGGCGCUUACCACUUUGUGAUUCAUGACUGGGGUGAAGUCGUAACAAGGUAACCGUAGGGGAACCUGCGGUUGGAUCACCUCCUUACCUUAAAGAA
rnacentral:rRNA from 1 species